GAUGAACGCUAGCGGUAGGCUUAAUACAUGCAAGUCGAGGGGCAGCAGGACUGUAGCAAUACAGUUGCUGGCGACCGGCAAACGGGCGCGGAACACGUACGCAGCCUUCCUUUAAGUGAGGGAUAGCCCAGGGAAACUUGGAUUAAUACCUCGUAAUAUUUGAGAGUGGCAUCACUUUCUAAUUAUAGCUCCGGCGCUUAAAGAUGGGCGUGCGACUGAUUAGGUAGUUGGCGGGGUAACGGCCCACCAAGCCUGCGAUCAGUAACUGGUGUGAGAGAACGACCAUUCACACGGGCACUGUGACACGGGCCCGACUCCUCCGGGAGGCAGCAGUAAGGAAUAUUUGUCAAUGGGCGCAAGUCUGAACCAGCCAUGCCGCGUGGAGGAUGAAGGUCCUCUGGAUUGUAAACUUCUUUUAUCUGGGAAGAAACCCAUAUUUUCUAGUGUGGUUGACGGUACCAGAUGAAUAAGCACCGGCUAACUCCGUGCCAGCCGCCGCCGUAAUAC
rnacentral:rRNA from 1 species